UUCAGAUUAUAAACUGGCUCGAGUAGGUGCAUGGGUGUGUUGGUUCAGGUGCUUCUGGAAAGCCCCUGCCCUUGCUCAGCACAUGGUCAUGUCCGCACCGUGUUUCUGCCCGGAGUGGAGUACUCUCUAACACAAUUGUCAAUGCCCUGCACCUAGUGGACGCUUGAUACUUGUUAAAUGGACAGAUGCAUCACUCUGGUAUGGCUGAGCUCACCCGGAUGACCUCAUUUCAUCUGCUCCUCCUUCCUCCCAGAGUCACAGCCACACAGACUUUCUGUGUUUCUUUGAACCUGCCACCCUUGGUCUCAUGAUCACUUGACCUUGUCCUUGAGCCUUUGCAUGGGCUGUGCUCUCUAACCAGCUGUCUCACUGUGUCACUGGCUCUUCUCUUCGAGGUCUCAGCUCAAAUGCCGCCUCCUUAAAGAGGUUUUCCUAACCACCCAGUCCAAAGGAGAUCCUCCAGUCACUCUCAUAUUACCCUGUGCAGUUUUCUUCAUAGCACUUAACAUGAUUAGACACUCUCAUAUUUAUUUAUUUUCCUAUAUCUCACUAGAACACCCUCCAGAGGAAAAGGGCCUGUCGUUUAAGGGUCCGUUGUGCCAGGCACUAAAACAGGUGCUCAGUAAAUAUUUGUUGAAUAAAUUAAUGAAUUCCAGAGGGCUAAGAAAACAGUUGUGUGAUUCUAAGGAAUGCUGACAUUUUGAAAAGAACUUGCAGACUCCAUCUUAGUCAUUUCCCCCCUUGUUAAUGUCUUCUGGGCCACAACAGGUACCAGAGCCCCAUGUGUAGGAAAUGCCCCCUCAGCGUGCUCCCACCUUGUCCCCCAUGGGUAGGAUGGCACCCAGACCAGACAGCACCCUCCCUGCCCCUUGCUUCUGGAGUGUUCCUUCCCUCCUGCCUUGACGUCCUCUUUUCCCUCUGACCUCCCAGUCACCUGGGCAGCUCCUCCUCUGCUCUGCACCAUUCUUGCUUGUGUGGGCAGCACAGCAUGGUUACUGGACUGCCUGGGGAAUCCCAAGACCAACCUCUGAUCCUAAAUCUCAGUGUGCUAUUGGGCAAGAUGAUCGACUUUUCUGAACUGUGUGUGUGUGUGUGUGUGUGUUUUUUCCUCCUGAAAAUGUACAAAGAUCCUACCCCGAAAUCAAUGAAUGACUUUUAUUCUCCUUCUCUACUGUGCUAUUGAGCUUGUAGUAGUCAGAUGAACUUGUGAAAUCACAAUCCAUAAGUUAGUAUUUUGCCCAUAAAUGACAGAUCCACACCCAAUUUUUCUUCUGCCAUUCACUUGGAACAUUUUCUUUCUCUUAUUUCUCAUAAAUUUAUUUUUCUAGCUCAGAUCAGCUGCUUAGCAAUCUCUCUUAAGCUCAGAACCAGCUCUGGCUGCCUCCUAACCGUCAGAAGUGGCACUCUGGCCUACAUUCAGUAUGGCCCUACAAGACUUACAUGCCCAGAGCGCAUUUCAAAUUCUGCUUUUUGGUUAAAUGAGAAAAGUGAAAGCAUUAGCAUCAGAAGUCAGAAGAGUCAGUGUGUGUGAGUGUGUGUGUGUGUGUGUGUGUGUGUGUAUGUUGGGGAAGGUUUUCCAUAAGACAGAGUCUCCCUGUACUGCAUCCACCUUCUCCUUGAACCUGACCCCACCUAGUAAUGGCCGUUGUCUUGCAGUUCAAGCUAAAGAAAAGGAAAAAAGAAAGUCUGACCCAUUUUGACAGAUCCUGGUUCUCUCUCUUCAUUUUCAUAGACCAGAGAUUUUCAAGUUCAGCUCUCAUGCUGAGCUGGUGUCAUGCAAUUUCCAGGCUCCUUCCUGUCUUCCUCCUCAUUCCAUAAAGCCCCUGAUAAUGGAAAGAAGGGAGAGACAAAGACACCUAGAAGAAGCUGGCUUUUGUCACAUUUAAGGUAGAAUUUGUUCAUUUGUGUUCUCUCUCAUUAAUAAAAUUGCUAAGGCAUC